CGAACCCGGAAGUUAAGCCUACCAGCGCCGAUGGUACUGCACCGGGGACGGUGUGGGAGAGUAGGACGCCGCCGGAC
rnacentral:rRNA from 1 species